AUUCUAAUGACCUCAAUCCAAGUUCCCUUUAUUCUGUAAAAUGUAUUGGAUGACAGAGAUGAGAAAUAUCAGUUCUUCAUUCAUCAAUGUUUGGCAUCUGCUCAGCUCUUUAAAUGAAUGGACAAAGCAUCUUAUCUUUAAGCAUGCUUGAUUUCUGAUAAAAAAUACAUCUGCAGCUCAAUUUUCGUCUUUUUCAACCACAAAGAUUGUAUCCUUUGCUUCUAGAAACUAGAUUCGCU